AUACCAUCUAAAUAAUUCUGUGAUUAUUUGUAUUUGUCUAUGUGAUGUAAAUGCUUGAGACCCUAGGCUACAAAAUACAAGACUCAGGCCACUCCCACUGUCCUGCUUGGAAAUAGAGACCAAGAUAAAAGACAGCUCAGAAAGAUAAAACAUCAGCACAGAAAGAAUAUAUGGGAGAAUGACUCAUCACAGAACACCAGUGCUCAGUGGUUAGAAGAUCUCAAAGCAGAGCACCACAAUCUCCCAGAGCAGGAAAUGGUCAGCUUUACAAAAGCAGGUUUUGCCUCUGCCUCUCCGGUAUCCCUCAUCCCAAUCCACACCAGGUUUCCUGGUGAGCAGAGCACCAUAUAAAAGGAAGAGGAAGAGACAAGGGCUCAGCUUAGGAUUUGUUGGAGAAAUGAUUGUUGUUGAUAGUGUUGCUGCAUUUUGAUCUUGUUAGUUUUGCUUUGUGUGUAUGACUUUGGAUUCGCCCCUUGAUAUACGGUUUUCUUGGUCCCUUUUGGUUUGAUUGCUGUAUAAUGUAUGUUUUUUUGUAUCUUGUAUAUAUGUCUUGUCCUGUACAUAAUUACACACUGGUUGUAGGGAGUGGCUGCCAUUUUGUUUGGGUGUGGGUUUAUCUUUGUUUAUAACAAUGUAUUCAUUGUAUGUU